UUAAGAAUUCAAAGGAUCAUAACCUUUGAAAUCCGUGGGCUGACGGAUCAUCUUUUUGGUAGGAUAAAGAGGUUGAAGAAAGAGAGAAAGGGGCCAGACUAUGAUAGUUGUAAGCCAAAGGGGCCAUAUUGUGAUAGUUGUAAGCCGGGGCAAGCUUGGUGCUACCUCUUUUUAUUUCUUUGUUGUUGACGAGUAAUGGAUAGUUUUUGAAUGUUAAGAAGUUAGUCUGGAGUGUCAGACUGUGAGAGUUGUAAGCCAAGAUAUUGAAUUUUGUAUGAUGAAUUGAGAAACUGAAUACAAUAGGUAAGCUGGAGAUCAGUAAUUGAAUAUAUAUAAACCACAAAGAAAGUAAGUGAGAGAUGAACGGAUAAGAAUAUGGAAGUAUUGUUGAAUUGAUAGUCAUAGAAUGGAUUAGGUGUUGAAUUAAGAGGGAAGUAGUAAGCCUUGGUGUUUUGUAGUUUAAUAAUUGAUUUCAUAUAGCUCGAGUACAGUCAAUUGUGACACUAACAGACGCAAUUCAUAUAACCAAUCUUUCCCCGUUGUCGUGUUGUAACACGAAUAUACAGUGAAAAUAAAAAAGAAAGGAGAAUUUUAUUAAUAUUCAGUUACCUCGAAUAUUGGGAGCAUCGACCAACUCCAGCGCAAAUACUGAGUGGUCAGGUUCAGUCACCCCGUUAGAGUCAGCCGGGACAUACUGAAAUGCUCCGUUCGAUUCCAAUUACGGGAGUCAGCAGGAAGAGAAGGACCAAUUCACACAAUGGGUUCGAAGAGCCAAUUGGAUCUAAUUUCGAGAAUCCAAUCCGGGUCCUCUUACUCAAUAUGAGACCUGUAUUGGUGGGGCAACCCAAUGCAGUCUAGUUACGGGAAAAUCCAGGUCUUACUACGGACCUCAGCCAGUUUGACGCGAAGACCAAUUUGACCCAAUUACGCGAGCAUCCAGGUUACUAUAGGCAUCUUUCCCAAUAUGGAACCUGAAUUGGUCGGGCGACUCAAUGUGGACCCGAGUACGGGGUUUCGAUUUUGUUUUAGGCUGUCCUGUUCUCUGUGCCGUUUCAGGGAACGUUGUUUGCGGUAAAUGGAUCUCUUAGAGGUAAAAACGGAGGAAAAGGCCUUGAUGACGUGAGCCAAUUUCGGAUCUAAGCUCUGACGGCGGGAGCCAAUUCCGGAUCUAAGAUGGAAGAUUGAAGAAAUUCAGAGGAUAAGAUUAGGGGAAUCGGGGAGCUAGUUUUCAAGCUUUUGCGAGGUUACUAGUUCGGGUUUUCAUAGGAGGUUUUUGGGGAUCAAGGAGAUUAGAGAGAGGAGCUUCAUGCUUCGGGUCGGGGAAGGAAAGACAUAGAAUUUGGAUUUUUCUUCUUCGUAGAGUUUUGGAAAGACUGAGGCAAUCGCUGCUGAAGUUAGUAUUGUAAUGGUGAAUCAGGAUUUUUAAUGAAGUGGGUUUGAAUACUCUUGACUGUUUUGUAAAAUCGAGUUACGUCUGUGAUUGAAGGAUUAAAAGGAUAUCUAUAGGAUUGAGUAUGCGGAGUGAAUGAAAUUUAUUGGGUUAAUCUAACAAGACAGUCAGUGGAUACAAGAUCGUAGGUACAAAGCGGUAUUGAAGAUUAACAGUUUGGGUUGUUCGGGGUUCUCUGUAACGUCCAGAGACCUACCGGUUGGGGCAAAAAAGACUUCGACAAGCAGUCGAAGAGCAUCCGUAUAGAUUUACGGUGCAUUGUUGCAGUCGUUUAUAUUCCAACAGUCAAAAACUGAUAGACUGCUUGACUAUCGGCGAAUCUCCAUACUACCUUCUACAGCGAGACGCCCGGCGCGCUCUCGAGCAGGAAAGCACGUAAUAUGACAUAAGUGGUGAACCCGACGUGAAAGCUUGAGUUGGAAGGUAUUGGAUUUCGGUUGAUUUUAUCUUUAUUUUUAUGGAAAACGAAAAUAAAAAUUUUGAAGGAUUUUUGGGAGGAGUUUCUGGUGGGGAGUCUUCUAAAGGACAAGGUAUGCACAUGGAUCUGUCUAUUGCUAGUUUGUUUCAAGCCUUCUCAUUUUUAAUGCAGCAACAACAAAGCAAUGAUCGAAAGGAAGCUUUGGCAACCAAAGCAUUGCAAGCAGUGGUCAAUAAAAUUGAUCAAUUUGAUGGGAGGAAUAUUUCAAGGUAUUUAAGAUGUUAUGUUCGUGAAAUGGAAUUAAAUCGGGUUUCUGAGAAGAAAAUGGUUGCACUAUUUGGAAUUGCCACGAUACCGGAGAUAAGGGACCACAUUACAUCGAUUACGGAUCGUUGUGGGAAUUCAUGGGAGGAUUUUUAACAUGCAUUGAAAGACGAAUAUUUCUUGGAAGAUGCUGAUUGCGUUACUAAAAAGCUGUUUCUGGGAUGGAUUGAACGGCCCAAUAACAAUUUGCAAGCAACAGAGCUACUAAGGGAAUUUGAAAGGCAGUACUCUCAAUUAUCGAAGGUAGAAAACUGACAUUGGAGCCAAACAAAGUUGAUCUAUUUCUUCAAGUUGCUGAUGGAGAAUUCCAAGAAAAAUUAGAAUCCCUUCUUGAAGACAAAGAAGAAGAUGAAAGAUUGACAACGAAGUGGAAGAACGUUGAAGAUGUGGUGGGGUUGCUUAUAAAAAAAGAAAUGAGGAAGGAUAGGAGCAAUAUUCCGAAAACAGUACAAGCACCCAAAGCUCCAGUACGUACAACACCACCAACAAUGCCUACAGUUCAACCUUCGACAUCCUUAUCAAAGAAAGCAGAUAUGGGGAUGGAAGAAAUUAUACGAGGAAUGCGAGAUCUUCAAAUCAAAUUGGCAAGACUUGAAGAGAAUACUUCUAUAAACAAUUGGAAGAAUGUUUCAAAACAAGGAUACGUACAAAGAUGCAUUUGGUGUGAUGAUGCUUCGCACAAUAGAAAAGAUUGCAAUGAAUUUAAUAAUAUGAUACGGGAGGGAAUUAUUUGCUGAAAAGAUGGGAAGAUAGCAUUGAAAAAUAGAGAGGAUCUUCUUCAAACCAAUUUUGACAAGGGAGGAAUGAGAGCAUUACUUCAAGAUUACUUAAAAGAGCAUGAAACAGCAGCACGAGAAAGUGCAAGUUAUGGUGCUAGAGUAGAUGAUGAAAUUGGUGGAAGUACGAAAACUAGUGAGUUUUGGGCUUCUGCCGUUUCUACAAUGCAAGAAGGAAAAUUACCUCGAGAGGCGUUAUUGAGAACUUCAGCUACAAUACGAGGUAGAACAGGUUGGGAGGAUCCUGUUGAGUCUCUUUCAGUUCAUGCAUAUAUUGCUAAGAGCCAACAUGAAGCUUUGAUGGAAGAAAAGAGACGAAGAAAUUUUGAUGAUACUAGAGAAGGAAAUUCUUUUAAGAGGCAAACUCGAGGAGACAAGGCUCGGGAGGCAGCUUCACAAGAAUUGCCUGUAAAGGAUACCUCAGCAUCAUUGGGAGAAAAAACAACGGAGACAAAAGAUAAGGGCAAAUCAAUUGCUUAUAAGCUACUUUUUGACAUGGAAGCUGCAACAAAUUUGAAAGGGGUGUUGGAAGAACGUAUAUUAAACGCUAAGGUGGAAUUCACAUUGAAAGAAGUCUUGGAAAUUGCAAAGAAGGAGUUUCAUGAUGUUAUCAUUGACAGCAUUAAGCGAAAGAGGCAAUUAAUGAGCGAAACUGGAAUGAGUCAUGCUAUUGAUGCACGAAUAUGUAGAGAUGAAGAAGAGGUUGAUAUUGGUUACAAGCAACCAACAAAUGAAAAGAAUGGGUAUAAUCAGCGAGUACGUUUCGAAGAUUCUAGUGACAAGGAAAUGGAAACUUUGAGCCAUUAUACUCGAAAGCAUUGGGCAAGGCAACUAUUGAGGUAUUGGUAAAGGUAGGAGAUAUAGAAGAACCAAUAGUUGCUUUGGUCGACCAUGGUUCUGAAAUAAAUCUCAUGUCUAAAGAUCUUUAUAAGAAGCAAAAGUGGCCAAUUGAUAUGGAACAUGGAUGGGCAAUUUGAGCAGCUAAUAACACACGAGGCAAAUUAUAUGGAGCUUAUCCAGAUGUCAAAAUUCGGAUUGGGGAUGUUGCGAUGGAGCAACAUUUCUUCGUUCAAGAUACAACGUCUUAUCCGUUGAUUUUAGGACAACCUUAUAUCAUGGCAACACGGAUGGAAACAAAAGUACUUGACGAUGGUUCUACUUAUGCAAGGGUACGGAGCGAAGAUGGGAGGAAAGCUGUACAAUUUCUAACAGUACCUCCUAACCAUGAACGGAAUCGAGAUAGGUUGAGGGAGAAACCAUUGCCAAAGAUUGUUGAAGGAUUUAAGGAUUUUGGGGAGGUACCACUGUAAAGCGAGAUUAUGGAGGUACAAAAGAGGAGGUACUCUCGCGAGAUGAAGGUGCCUUUGAUGCAAGUUUUAUUGGUAUAUUGGAGAAUGGAAAUAUUAUGUAUAAGAAAGUUGAUGAUUUUUAAAGAAAAGAAAGAAAAAGAUUAUAUAAUAUUGAAGGACAAUUACGCAAGAUAGGUACAUUGCAAGAUGAUGAGAGGAUUUUGAAUGUGUUAUUGAAGAAAAUAGACUGGAAGAUUUAUUGGAAUUGAUUACAUCUAUUGGAUUAGGGGAUAAUGAUAAGAUUGUUGAGAUUCAUUCGAGAGAGGUUUAUACCAUGCUUGAAUCUUUUCAAGCACCAGAAGUCACAAUAGAGAGAAGAUAUAAAACGGCAGAUAAGAAGGUAAAGCCUGUUGCCGGGCCAUUACCAGAGGAUUCUAAAGAACAAAUGGGAGAAGCAUCAAAAGAAGCAAGUUUAAGAGAUCCAAUGAGUAUUGGACAUCAGUUUACUAAAGAGACUUUUAAAGAAUUGAAGAUUGGUUCUGAUGGUUCUUUAUUGCCGGAGGAAAUUACUUGCUUCAAAAAGAUGUUGGCUAAACAAGGUAGAUCGUUUGCCUUCGAAUCUCAUGAAAUUGAGUGUGUAGAUCCAAAUAUUAUAACACCUAUAGUUAUCUUCACUGUACCGCAUGUACCUUGGAAUCUAAGACCGAUUCCAGAACCGAGGGCACAUUUACCUAAAUUGGUGGAACUAUUAAAAGAAAAGAUAAAGAUGAAAAUAUUAGAGCCUUCAUUUGUGCCGUAUUCUAGUCGAUGGUUUACGGAACCUAAGAAGAAUGGAUCACUACGGUUUAUUCAAGAUAUGCAGCCGGUGAAUGCUGUAACUCUCAGGAAUGCAGGAAUUGGACCUAUUGUGGAUGAAUUUGCUGAGAAGUUUGCUGGAAGGGCGAUCUAUUCAAUGGGUGAUUUGUAUUCAGGUUAUGAUCAAUUUCAACUUGCCGAAGGAAGUAGAAAUUUGACAACGAUGAGGACACCGCUUGGAUUGGUUAGAAUGUGCACUCUUCCUCAAGGCGCGACCAACUCAGUUGCACAUAUGAUGAAUGGGAUGAAUAAGGUAUUGAGAGAUUUUAUUUCGGAAAAGACUAUGCCUUUUCUGGAUGAUGUUCUUAUAAAAGGGUGCAGAGAAGGAGACAAGGAUGAAACUUUAGAUACGAGGGGGUGUCGCAGAUAUGUUGUUGAUCAUAUACAAGAUUGUGAAAAGAUUUUAACUCGGCUUGGAGAAGUUCAUCUUACAUUAUCGGGUAUGAAGUCCAUAUUUGGAGUACGAGAGGUUGUAAUUGUUGGACAUUUAUCCGGAUCUUACGGAAGAAAACUAGAUCCGACUAAAGUUGAUGCAAUUGAAAGGAUGAAAGAGGAUUGUGAUUCUUUAACAGAGGUUCGCAGGUUUUUGGGUGCAUGUGUAUUUAAUCGAAUCUGGAUCCCUCAUUUUGCUCACAUAGCGAAUCCAUUAUAUGAACUGUUACCCAAGGAUUACCGAUUUAAAUGGGAAGAAAGGCAUAUUCAGGCAAUGCAAAGAUUGAAGAAAUUAUUGAUGUCACCUCCAAUAUUGAGGAAGGUUGAUUAUAAGUGCAAUAGACCAGUGAUUCUUACUGUAGACGCUAGUCCAAUUGCUGUUGGAUGGGCUGUGGGUCAAGAUGAUUCGAAUGGGAGUAGAUUUGCAGUUCGAUUUGGGGCUAAAGUUUUAAGUAUUCGUCAACGUGCAUAUUCGCAAGUCAAAAGAGAACUUUGGGAAGUCGUUUCGGCUAUGAAAGCUGAAAAGGACUAUUUGAUUGGGGUAGUAGUAGUAAUUAAAACAGAUUGCUUGCCAUUGCUUGGAAUGAUUAUUAACUGUUCAACGCCAGAUAUUGUAAUGUUGAGAUGGAUUGCUUAUAUUAAGUCACUAAAUCCAGAAUUUAAGCAUAUCACUGGAAAGAACAAUUUAGUAGCAGACAUGCUAUCUCGAGCAAGAUACGAGAGGGAGGACGAAAUGGUUGAAGACAUUGAUGAUGUCGGAUUGAAAUUCUAUUCAAUAUCAAAUCUCAACAGAGAAGACAAGCUAUUUCUUGAAGAAUCUUAUGAAGGAGAAUUAUUGGAUAUUGAUCAUUAUUAGAAUACCUUGUCUAAGCAGGGAAAUUGGUCUACAGAAAAAUUCAAAUAAAUAAGAAAAAAAGCAUAUGGAUUUUUACUUUGAGAUGGAUUCUUAUGGAAGAGACCGAAGAAAGGAAUUGGGAUGCGACAACGAGUGAUAGGCAAAAGGGAAGAAAAACUAAAAUUAUUAAAGGAGUUUCAUGAUAGUUUAUGGGCAGGGCAUAGAGGAAUCUGGGCUACUUUUGCUAAACUCAAGGAACGAUAUUGGUGGAAAAAUAUGUAUUGAGAUGUGCUCUCAUUUGUAGAGUCAUGUGAAAUCUGUCAAUCGUAUUCUAAUAUCCGACAUCGAGAUGGUCUUCAUCCUAUGUAUCCUCUGGCUAUUCAUUUUAAAUGGGUUGUUGAUUUGGUUAUUAUGGUGGUUGGGUUAAGACAGAUGAGAUAUUUGGUUUUAACUCGUGAAGAUUUAUCAAAUCAAGUAGAAGGAAGAGCAUUGAGGACAAAAUCUACAGAGGGGAUUUGUAGGUUUUUGCUUGAAGAUGUCAUUUGCCGUUACGGGUGCGUAGGAAAAAUCACUGCAGAUCGUGGAGAAUUAAAUGCACAAAAAGCUCGUAAGUUCUUUGAAAGAUGUGGAGUUAAACAAUCACUGAGUACUACUUAUAAUCCGGAAGGGAAUGCAAAAAACAAACGCGGUCACCCGCCGAUUGUGAAAGCAUUGGUUAAAGCUUGUAAUGGAAAAGUUAAAGAGUGGCCACGGCUUUUGUCAUUUACAUUAUGGGCUGAUCGAACAACACACAGUUCGGUGACAGGAUAUAUGCCUGUAGAACUUAUGACAGGUCAAAAAUCAAUUAUGCCGAUUGAAGAAAAGGUACUUACUUGGAGUAUGCUGCCAUGGGAAGAUGGAUUGACAAGAGAAGAACUUCUGGCAAUUAGGAUUCGACAAUUGGAGCAAAGAACGGAAGAUGUCCAGAUAGCAUUGGAAAGGUUAAAAAGAACAAGUUUACAAAACAAGGCGCGAUUCGAUAAGCAACAUCGAUUGAGACCAAAAGCAGUCGAGGAAGGUGACUGGGUACUUGUUUAUGACAAUAGUCUGGAUAAUCAACAUACUACUUUGUGGAAAUUCUCAAAACGUUGAUUUGGACCAUAUGUGGUAACAACUGUUCAUGAUAAUGCGACUUACACAUUACGGAAGUUACAUGGUACAAAAUUGAAAAUACCAAUUGCAGGGAAGCGAGUAAAAAUAUUUAAACGAAGACACGCAGAGAUGAAUAUGGAAGACCUUAAUGAAGGUAUAGAGAUUCCGCAGCAAGAAGAUGAAAGUGAUUUGGAUAAUGAAGGUGACAAAGACGAACCAGACAAAGACGUAGGGGAUAUAUUCUGAAUCAAACAGCAAUUGGAUAAAUUGGUGCAUACCGGACGAUGCACAGGUUCAGACGGAGUGGAUGUCGUGUUGUAACACGAGUAUACAGUGAAAAUAAAAAAGAAAGGGGAAUUUUAUUAAUAUUCAGUUACCUCGAAUAUUGGGAGCAUCGACCAACUCCAGCACAAAUACUGAGUGGUCCGGUUCAGUCACCCCGUUACAGUCAGUCGGGACAUACUGAAAUGCUCCGUUCGAUUCCAAUUACGGGAGUCAGCAGGAAGAGAAGGACCAAUUCACACAAUGGGUUCGAAGAGCCAAUUGGAUCUAAUUUCGAGAAUCCAAUCCGGGUCCUCUUACUCAAUAUGAGACCUGUAUUGGUGGGGCAACCCAAUGCAGUCUAGUUACGGGAAAAUCCAGGUCUUACUACGGACCUCAGCCAGUUUGACGCGAAGACCAAUUUGACCCAAUUACGCGAGCAUCCAGGUUACUAUAGGCAUCUUUCCCAAUAUGGAACCUGAAUUGGUCGGGCGACUCAAUGUGGACCCGAGUACGGGGUUUCGAUUUUGUUUUAGGCUGUCCUGUUCUCUGUGCCGUUUCAGGGAACGUUGUUUGCGGUAAAUGGAUCUCUUAGAGGUAAAAACGGAGGAAAAGGCCUUGAUGACGUGAGCCAAUUUCGGAUCUAAGCUCUGACGGCGGGAGCCAAUUCCGGAUCUAAGAUGGAAGAUUGAAGAAAUUCAGAGGAUAAGAUUAGGGGAAUCGGGGAGCUAGUUUUCAAGCUUUUGCGAGGUUACUAGUUCGGGUUUUCAUAGGAGGUUUUUGGGGAUCAAGGAGAUUAGAGAGAGGAGCUUCAUGCUUCGGGUCGGGGAAGGAAAGACAUAGAAUUUGGAUUUUUCUUCUUCGUAGAGUUUUGGAAAGACUGAGGCAAUCGCUGCUGAAGUUAGUAUUGUAAUGGUGAAUCAGGAUUUUUAAUGAAGUGGGUUUGAAUACUCUUGACUGUUUUGUAAAAUCGAGUUACGUCUGUGAUUGAAGGAUUAAAAGGAUAUCUAUAGGAUUGAGUAUGCGGAGUGAAUGAAAUUUAUUGGGUUAAUCUAACAAGACAGUCAGUGGAUACAAGAUCGUAGGUACAAAGCGGUAUUGAAGAUUAACAGUUUGGGUUGUUCGGGGUUCUCUGUAACGUCCAGAGACCUACCGGUUGGGGCAAAAAAGACUUCGACAAGCAGUCGAAGAGCAUCCGUAUAGAUUUACGGUGCAUUGUUGCAGUCGUUUAUAUUCCAACAGUCAAAAACUGAUAGACUGCUUGACUAUCGGCGAAUCUCCAUACUACCUUCUACAGCGAGACGCCCGGCGCGCUCUCGAGCAGGAAAGCACGUAAUAUGACAUAAGUGGUGAACCCGACGUGAAAGCUUGAGUUGGAAGGUAUUGGAUUUCGGUUGAUUUUAUCUUUAUUUUUAUGGAAAACGAAAAUAAAAAUUUUGAAGGAUUUUUGGGAGGAGUUUCUGGUGGGGAGUCUUCUAAAGGACAAGGUAUGCACAUGGAUCUGUCUAUUGCUAGUUUGUUUCAAGCCUUCUCAUUUUUAAUGCAGCAACAACAAAGCAAUGAUCGAAAGGAAGCUUUGGCAACCAAAGCAUUGCAAGCAGUGGUCAAUAAAAUUGAUCAAUUUGAUGGGAGGAAUAUUUCAAGGUAUUUAAGAUGUUAUGUUCGUGAAAUGGAAUUAAAUCGGGUUUCUGAGAAGAAAAUGGUUGCACUAUUUGGAAUUGCCACGAUACCGGAGAUAAGGGACCACAUUACAUCGAUUACGGAUCGUUGUGGGAAUUCAUGGGAGGAUUUUUAACAUGCAUUGAAAGACGAAUAUUUCUUGGAAGAUGCUGAUUGCGUUACUAAAAAGCUGUUUCUGGGAUGGAUUGAACGGCCCAAUAACAAUUUGCAAGCAACAGAGCUACUAAGGGAAUUUGAAAGGCAGUACUCUCAAUUAUCGAAGGUAGAAAACUGACAUUGGAGCCAAACAAAGUUGAUCUAUUUCUUCAAGUUGCUGAUGGAGAAUUCCAAGAAAAAUUAGAAUCCCUUCUUGAAGACAAAGAAGAAGAUGAAAGAUUGACAACGAAGUGGAAGAACGUUGAAGAUGUGGUGGGGUUGCUUAUAAAAAAAGAAAUGAGGAAGGAUAGGAGCAAUAUUCCGAAAACAGUACAAGCACCCAAAGCUCCAGUACGUACAACACCACCAACAAUGCCUACAGUUCAACCUUCGACAUCCUUAUCAAAGAAAGCAGAUAUGGGGAUGGAAGAAAUUAUACGAGGAAUGCGAGAUCUUCAAAUCAAAUUGGCAAGACUUGAAGAGAAUACUUCUAUAAACAAUUGGAAGAAUGUUUCAAAACAAGGAUACGUACAAAGAUGCAUUUGGUGUGAUGAUGCUUCGCACAAUAGAAAAGAUUGCAAUGAAUUUAAUAAUAUGAUACGGGAGGGAAUUAUUUGCUGAAAAGAUGGGAAGAUAGCAUUGAAAAAUAGAGAGGAUCUUCUUCAAACCAAUUUUGACAAGGGAGGAAUGAGAGCAUUACUUCAAGAUUACUUAAAAGAGCAUGAAACAGCAGCACGAGAAAGUGCAAGUUAUGGUGCUAGAGUAGAUGAUGAAAUUGGUGGAAGUACGAAAACUAGUGAGUUUUGGGCUUCUGCCGUUUCUACAAUGCAAGAAGGAAAAUUACCUCGAGAGGCGUUAUUGAGAACUUCAGCUACAAUACGAGGUAGAACAGGUUGGGAGGAUCCUGUUGAGUCUCUUUCAGUUCAUGCAUAUAUUGCUAAGAGCCAACAUGAAGCUUUGAUGGAAGAAAAGAGACGAAGAAAUUUUGAUGAUACUAGAGAAGGAAAUUCUUUUAAGAGGCAAACUCGAGGAGACAAGGCUCGGGAGGCAGCUUCACAAGAAUUGCCUGUAAAGGAUACCUCAGCAUCAUUGGGAGAAAAAACAACGGAGACAAAAGAUAAGGGCAAAUCAAUUGCUUAUAAGCUACUUUUUGACAUGGAAGCUGCAACAAAUUUGAAAGGGGUGUUGGAAGAACGUAUAUUAAACGCUAAGGUGGAAUUCACAUUGAAAGAAGUCUUGGAAAUUGCAAAGAAGGAGUUUCAUGAUGUUAUCAUUGACAGCAUUAAGCGAAAGAGGCAAUUAAUGAGCGAAACUGGAAUGAGUCAUGCUAUUGAUGCACGAAUAUGUAGAGAUGAAGAAGAGGUUGAUAUUGGUUACAAGCAACCAACAAAUGAAAAGAAUGGGUAUAAUCAGCGAGUACGUUUCGAAGAUUCUAGUGACAAGGAAAUGGAAACUUUGAGCCAUUAUACUCGAAAGCAUUGGGCAAGGCAACUAUUGAGGUAUUGGUAAAGGUAGGAGAUAUAGAAGAACCAAUAGUUGCUUUGGUCGACCAUGGUUCUGAAAUAAAUCUCAUGUCUAAAGAUCUUUAUAAGAAGCAAAAGUGGCCAAUUGAUAUGGAACAUGGAUGGGCAAUUUGAGCAGCUAAUAACACACGAGGCAAAUUAUAUGGAGCUUAUCCAGAUGUCAAAAUUCGGAUUGGGGAUGUUGCGAUGGAGCAACAUUUCUUCGUUCAAGAUACAACGUCUUAUCCGUUGAUUUUAGGACAACCUUAUAUCAUGGCAACACGGAUGGAAACAAAAGUACUUGACGAUGGUUCUACUUAUGCAAGGGUACGGAGCGAAGAUGGGAGGAAAGCUGUACAAUUUCUAACAGUACCUCCUAACCAUGAACGGAAUCGAGAUAGGUUGAGGGAGAAACCAUUGCCAAAGAUUGUUGAAGGAUUUAAGGAUUUUGGGGAGGUACCACUGUAAAGCGAGAUUAUGGAGGUACAAAAGAGGAGGUACUCUCGCGAGAUGAAGGUGCCUUUGAUGCAAGUUUUAUUGGUAUAUUGGAGAAUGGAAAUAUUAUGUAUAAGAAAGUUGAUGAUUUUUAAAGAAAAGAAAGAAAAAGAUUAUAUAAUAUUGAAGGACAAUUACGCAAGAUAGGUACAUUGCAAGAUGAUGAGAGGAUUUUGAAUGUGUUAUUGAAGAAAAUAGACUGGAAGAUUUAUUGGAAUUGAUUACAUCUAUUGGAUUAGGGGAUAAUGAUAAGAUUGUUGAGAUUCAUUCGAGAGAGGUUUAUACCAUGCUUGAAUCUUUUCAAGCACCAGAAGUCACAAUAGAGAGAAGAUAUAAAACGGCAGAUAAGAAGGUAAAGCCUGUUGCCGGGCCAUUACCAGAGGAUUCUAAAGAACAAAUGGGAGAAGCAUCAAAAGAAGCAAGUUUAAGAGAUCCAAUGAGUAUUGGACAUCAGUUUACUAAAGAGACUUUUAAAGAAUUGAAGAUUGGUUCUGAUGGUUCUUUAUUGCCGGAGGAAAUUACUUGCUUCAAAAAGAUGUUGGCUAAACAAGGUAGAUCGUUUGCCUUCGAAUCUCAUGAAAUUGAGUGUGUAGAUCCAAAUAUUAUAACACCUAUAGUUAUCUUCACUGUACCGCAUGUACCUUGGAAUCUAAGACCGAUUCCAGAACCGAGGGCACAUUUACCUAAAUUGGUGGAACUAUUAAAAGAAAAGAUAAAGAUGAAAAUAUUAGAGCCUUCAUUUGUGCCGUAUUCUAGUCGAUGGUUUACGGAACCUAAGAAGAAUGGAUCACUACGGUUUAUUCAAGAUAUGCAGCCGGUGAAUGCUGUAACUCUCAGGAAUGCAGGAAUUGGACCUAUUGUGGAUGAAUUUGCUGAGAAGUUUGCUGGAAGGGCGAUCUAUUCAAUGGGUGAUUUGUAUUCAGGUUAUGAUCAAUUUCAACUUGCCGAAGGAAGUAGAAAUUUGACAACGAUGAGGACACCGCUUGGAUUGGUUAGAAUGUGCACUCUUCCUCAAGGCGCGACCAACUCAGUUGCACAUAUGAUGAAUGGGAUGAAUAAGGUAUUGAGAGAUUUUAUUUCGGAAAAGACUAUGCCUUUUCUGGAUGAUGUUCUUAUAAAAGGGUGCAGAGAAGGAGACAAGGAUGAAAAUUUAGAUACGAGGGGGUGUCGCAGAUAUGUUGUUGAUCAUAUACAAGAUUGUGAAAAGAUUUUAACUCGUCUUGGAGAAGUUCAUCUUACAUUAUCGGGUAUGAAGUCCAUAUUUGGAGUACGAGAGGUUGUAAUUGUUGGACAUUUAUCCGGAUCUUACGGAAGAAAACUAGAUCCGACUAAAGUUGAUGCAAUUGGAAGGAUGAAAGAGGAUUGUGAUUCUUUAACAGAGGUUCGCAGGUUUUUGGGUGCAUGUGUAUUUAAUCGAAUCUGGAUCCCUCAUUUUGCUCACAUAGCGAAUCCAUUAUAUGAACUGUUACCCAAGGAUUACCGAUUUAAAUGGGAAGAAAGGCAUAUUUAGGCAAUGCAAAGAUUGAAGAAAUUAUUGAUGUCACCUCCAAUAUUGAGGAAGGUUGAUUAUAAGUGCAAUAGACCAGUGAUUCUUACUGUAGACGCUAGUCCAAUUGCUGUUGGAUGGGCUGUGGGUCAAGAUGAUUUGAAUGGGAGUAGAUUUGCAGUUCGAUUUGGGGCUAAAGUUUUAAGUAUUCGUCAACGUGCAUAUUCGCAAGUCAAAAGAGAACUUUGGGAAGUCGUUUCGGCUAUGAAAGCUGAAAAGGACUAUUUGAUUGGGGUAGUAGUAGUAAUUGAAACAGAUUGCUUGCCAUUGCUUGGAAUGAUUAUUAACUGUUCAACGCCAGAUAUUGUAAUGUUGAGAUGGAUUGCUUAUAUUAAGUCACUAAAUCCAGAAUUUAAGCAUAUCACUGGAAAGAACAAUUUAGUAGCAGACAUGCUAUCUCGAGCAAGAUACGAGAGGGAGGACGAAAUGGUUGAAGACAUUGAUGAUGUCGGAUUGAAAUUCUAUUCAAUAUCAAAUCUCAACAGAGAAGACAAGCUAUUUCUUGAAGAAUCUUAUGAAGGAGAAUUAUUGGAUAUUGAUCAUUAUUAGAAUACCUUGUCUAAGCAGGGAAAUUGGUCUACAGAAAAAUUCAAAUAAAUAAGAAAAAAAGCAUAUGGAUUUUUACUUUGAGAUGGAUUCUUAUGGAAGAGACCGAAGAAAGGAAUUGGGAUGCGACAACGAGUGAUAGGCAAAAGGGAAGAAAAACUAAAAUUAUUAAAGGAGUUUCAUGAUAGUUUAUGGGCAGGGCAUAGAGGAAUCUGGGCUACUUUUGCUAAACUCAAGGAACGAUAUUGGUGGAAAAAUAUGUAUCGAGAUGUGCUCUCAUUUGUAGAGUCAUGUGAAAUCUGUCAAUCGUAUUCUAAUAUCCGACAUCGAGAUAGUCUUCAUCCUUCGUAUCCUCUGGCUAUUCAUUUUAAAUGGGUUGUUGAUUUGGUUAUUAUGCUGGUUGGGUUAAAGCAGAUGAGAUAUUUGGUUUUAACUCGUGAAGAUUUAUCAAAUCAAGUAGAAGGAAGAGCAUUGAGGACAAAAUCUACAGAGGGGAUUUGUAGGUUUUUGCUUGAAGAUGUCAUUUGCCGUUACGGGUGCGUAGGAAAAAUCACUGCAGAUCGUGGAGAAUUAAAUGCACAAAAAGCUCGUAAGUUCUUUGAAAGAUGUGGAGUUAAACAAUCACUGAGUACUACUUAUAAUCCGGAAGGGAAUGCAAAAAACAAACGCGGUCACCCGCCGAUUGUGAAAGCAUUGGUUAAAGCUUGUAAUGGAAAAGUUAAAGAGUGGCCACGGCUUUUGUCAUUUACAUUAUGGGCUGAUCGAACAACACACAGUUCGGUGACAGGAUAUAUGCCUGUAGAACUUAUGACAGGUCAAAAAUCAAUUAUGCCGAUUGAAGAAAAGGUACUUACUUGGAGUAUGCUGCCAUGGGAAGAUGGAUUGACAAGAGAAGAACUUCUGGCAAUUAGGAUUCGACAAUUGGAGCAAAGAACGGAAGAUGUCCAGAUAGCAUUGGAAAGGUUAAAAAGAACAAGUUUACAAAACAAGGCGCGAUUCGAUAAGCAACAUCGAUUGAGACCAAAAGCAGUCGAGGAAGGUGACUGGGUACUUGUUUAUGACAAUAGUCUGGAUAAUCAACAUACUACUUUGUGGAAAUUCUCAAAACGUUGAUUUGGACCAUAUGUGGUAACAACUGUUCAUGAUAAUGCGACUUACACAUUACGGAAGUUACAUGGUACAAAAUUGAAAAUACCAAUUGCAGGGAAGCGAGUAAAAAUAUUUAAACGAAGACACGCAGAGAUGAAUAUGGAAGACCUUAAUGAAGGUAUAGAGAUUCCGCAGCAAGAAGAUGAAAGUGAUUUGGAUAAUGAAGGUGACAAAGACAAACCAGACAAAGACGUAGGGGAUAUAUUCUGAAUCAAACAGCAAUUGGAUAAAUUGGUGCAUACCGGACGAUGCACAGGUUCAGACGGAGUGGAUGUCGUGUUGUAACACGAGUAUACAGUGAAAAUAAAAAAGAAAGGGGAAUUUUAUUAAUAUUCAGUUACCUCGAAUAUUGGGAGCAUCGACCAACUCCAGCACAAAUACUGAGUGGUCCGGUUCAGUCACCCCGUUACAGUCAGUCGGGACAUACUGAAAUGCUCCAUUCGAUUCCAAUUACGGGAGUCAGCAGGAAGAGAAGGACCAAUUUACACGACGGGUUCGAAGAGCCAAUUGGAUCUAAUUUCGAGAAUCCAAUCCGGAUCCUCUUACCCAAUAUGAGACCUGUAUUGGUGGGGCAACCCUAUGCAGUCUAGUUACGGGAAAAUCCAGGUCUUACUACGGGCCUCAGCCAGUCUGACGCGAAGACCAAUUUGACCCAAUUAUGCGAGCAUCCAGGUUACUAUAGGCAUCUUUCUCAAUAUGGGACCUGAAUUGGUCGGGCGACUCAAUGUGGACCCGAGUACGGGGUUUCGAUUUUGUUUUAGGCUGUCCUGUUCUCUGUGCCGUUUCAGGGAACGUUGUUUGCGGUAAAUGGAUCUCUUAAAGGUAAAAACGGAGGAAAAGGCCUUGAUGACGUGAGCCAAUUUUGGAUCUAAGCUCUGACGGCGGGAGCCAAUUCCGGAUCUAAGAUGGAAGAUUGAAGAAAUUCAGAGGAUAAGAGUAGGAGAAUCGGGGAACUAGUUUUCAAGCUUUUGCGAGGUUACUAGUUCGGGUUUUCAUAGGAGGUUUUUGGAGAUCAAGGAGAUUAGAGAGAGGAGCUUCAUGCUUCACGUCGGGGAAGGAAAGACAUAGAAUUUGAAUUUUUCUUCUUCGUAGAGUUUUGGGAAGACCGAGGCAAUCGCUGCUGAAGUCAGUAUUGUAAUGGUGAAUCAGGAUUUUUAAUGAAGUGGGUUUGAAUACUCUUGACUGUUUUGUAAAAUCGAGUUACGUCUGUGAUUGAAGGAUUAAAAGAGUGUCUAUAGGAUUGAGUAUGCGGAGUAAAUGAAAUUUAUUGGAUUAAUCUAAUAAGACAGUCAGUGGAUACAAGAUCCUAAGUACAAAGCGGUAUUGAAGAUUAAUAGUUUGGGUUGUUCGAGGUUCUCUGUAACGUCUAGAGACCUACCGGCUGGGGCAUAAAAGACUUCGACAAGCAGUCGAAGAACAUCCGUAUAGAUUUACGGUGCAUUGUUACAGUCGUAUAUAUUCCACCAGUCAAAAACUGAUAGACUGCUUGACUGUCGGCGAAUCUCCAUACUACCUUCUACAGCCAGACGCCCGGGGCGUUCUCGAGCAGGAAAGCACGUAAUACGACACCGUGUUCGAACUCACUUCUAUUAGUUCAAUUGCUUUGGUAUACUGAAGCUUGAACACAACAAAAACAACAUUUUAUUGUCGCUGUCGAGGAAAUGAUAACAAUAUGAAAUGUUAGAAAUUGAUUGUAUGAGAGAUAGAAUUAUAUGUUGAAUGAAAAUGUGAGAAGAACCAGUUUUAGGGUUACAAAUAUGUGAGUUAUAAUUCAAGGUAGUAUUGAUUUUAUAAAGAAGAAUGAAAGAUUAUGAAUGAUAAUCAUGAAAGGGAGGAUUAUCAAAGAAUUAAUCGACAAGUAAAAGAAAGACAGGAGCGAUUACGCAUAAGAAAUCUCCUAUGGGAACGACAAAAAGGAAUUGUAGGUCCAAAUAAAAUCAAAGGAAGAAAAAUUCAAAUUCAAAUAGCAAGGAGACCAGUGAUAACACCAAUGGCUGCAGGAGUGCCAGAAGUACCAAUUGUAGUACAAAUGGGAGCAGUAGAAGACCAAACUAUAAGUGUGGCACCAUUACCUACUUUUAGUGGUUGGCCGGGCUCUGAUCUUGAUCAUUAUAUAUCUCAAUUCUUGACAGCCUGUAUGGCUAAUAAUCGUAGAACUGAAGACAUUUGGUUGAAAUAGUUGCUAGCAACUUUAAAAGAUAUAGCUUUUGAAUGGAAUAAUCGGCAACCAAUAGAUAGAUUUUUAAAUUGGGAGGCCUUGAGGAAUACCUUUCUAAUCCAUUUUAAACCAAUUGGAUUUGAAGAUUGGCUUAGAAAAAUUUUUAUGAAUAGCAUGAUGUUUGUAGGAGAAUCAGUGGAGUCAUAUUAUGGCCGGGUCGUAGAUAUACUUCAUAAAUAGUCAAAUAAUCAAAUGCCUGCGGCGUUUAUAUUGUCAAUAUUAAUCAAUGAUUUGUAUCCACCAGAAUUAAAAAUAUUUGUAAAAGAGGCUCGAUCAGCUACGAUAGAAGCAUCGUUGGUACGAGCAAAGGUGUGAGAAGAAUUUCAUUAUAACCAAUUGUUAAAAACGGGGGCCACAAUGAUUCCAAGUUCAGGAAGCCAACAAAUACAAUCAGGAAAUGUGUCAAUGGAUAAUUAUCCACAAAUGGCUGACUCCAACAUGAAGAAUGUUAUGUUGCAAAAACCAAUUAAUGCUACUCUACUCUAAGCAAUAGUGCCAAUAGCAAUAACACCUUUUUUUACAUCGCCAACCUAUCAACAACCGGAGUUGCUCACAAAUGCAACUAUUAAAGAUCUAAAUGAAGCCUUGUUAUUAAAUCUAACAAAGAAGAUGGAAGAAUUGGCCAUGAAUUUGGCUAAAGACAAGGAAAAACGACAUAAGACUUCUAAUACAAGACCUAAUGUAUAGUAUAAUAAUUAUAAGGGACAAGGUCAUUUUGAUAUGGAAUGUCCAUCACCCAGACAAAUGGGUAUUUAAUAUAUAUUUUGUGGAGGAAAGCACCCUAUCCAAAACUGGUGGCAUUAACAAAGGCAACAAUAGUUCAAUAUCUAGACAAUACAGACAACUCAAUGGAAUAUUAAUUAAGUAUAGAUUGGAAAUAUGGGUGGUUAGAAUAGUAAUCGUACAAAUCUACAUAAUCAUGGCUUUGGAAAUUUUUAAAAUACUAAUUAUAAUUCGGUUUAUGGUACAAAGAUACAGAAUGGUGGAAAUAAUUAAGAGAAUAAUCUCCAAAUUAUACCAAUUCAACAGUCCAAUUCUUGACCAGUAGCAACUGGUCAGCCAAGAUCAUUUACUAUGGCUACCUGGAAUCGGCCUUGUAGAUAUAUUCCAAUGGAGACUCCAAGUGGAUGUGACGGUAUAGGCCAAAAACUACUAUGUUGCUACUAGUGCCGACAAAUUGAUCAUUAUGUCAAUGAAUGCCCUAAUUCAAGAUGUAUAGACGAAUGUGCUCCAGUAUGUAGAAAUUAUAAGCAAUCAGAUCAUUUUCAUUAUCAAUGCAAUGUUCCAUUUAAUCCUAAUAAUCAUAAUCAGAAGAUACAAUCGACUAUGUAAAUUAUAGAAGAAAAAAAUAAUUGGACAUAAAAAUCACCAAUUCAUCAAGUAGAAGUAGUCCAAGUUGUCUUUACAAGAAGUCAGUAAAAGAAAAAAGGACCAAUUCAUCAUUUGGAUGAGCCUGAAGCGAAGGGUUUAUUGGACCUAAUUAUGGGACCAUCUAAUCCAGUUCCUAAUAUGGGCCUCUUAUUCAGUAUAAGACCUGAACCGGUGUUAGGGACAUAAUCCUUAGAACCUUCUAGAGAUAAGUUUCUAGAACCUUCUAGAAGCAAGUCUCUGAAACUUUCUAGAAGCUUCCUAGUUGGUAGAAGUUGCUUGAGAAGCUUCCUAAAUAGAAGUAUAUAUUGGAAUCGAGGCUAAAGAGUUCUUCAGUCUCGACAACACAUUUCUUGGAGCUCUAGCUCACCUCUCUAGUAUUGUUCUCAUCUAAUUAAUCUAGUUCUACCCAGUUCUUCUUGAACUUCUCAUUAGAUCUCGAGUUUUUAUUUCUCUAUCCGUGACAGUUUGUCAAGACUUCACUCACCUCAGAUAUCAGAGCUAGUUUCUUCUUUGUUAGAGUGUGGAUUACCCCUUUGCUUGGAAGUGUACUAGCAUUUUAGAGGUUGCAGAUUACCUUCCUCUAAAUUGAUACUUCUUUUGUUACAAUAUUGGAAUCUUAUUCUUCUUGGAGAGAGUGGAUUACCCCUUUUCUUGAAGCUCUUAAGGCAUUUUAGAGGUUGUGGAGUACCCUCCUCUAGACCAAUAUUGACUUCUUGUAGAGUCAUUUUUGUCCUUCUCUAAGAAUGGCUGGGGGCCAAGACAUUAGUAUGACGGAAAGUUCAGAGUCCAAGUUAGAUGCUAUCAUGAAUGCCCUCUCUACGUUAUCACAAAAAACUGGAGAGAUUGAAGGAGUCGUGGCAAGGCUUCAUAAUGAUGGAGCAUCUGAGAUGGCACAAUCUAGGUUGCACUAGCCUCAAACUUCUGCACUUGAAGAAGCAACUUUGCCUCAAGUUCGACAAGCACCGCUGAUUCUACAACAUAAGGAGCCCCGAGUUAGCCUUCCGGAUAAGUUUGAUGGUACGCAUUCCAAGUUUCGAGGAUUCGUCAACCAAAUCAGGUUGAUAACAGUUUUACAGCCCGAACGCUAUCCAACGGAGGAGUCACGUAUUGGGCUUGUUGGAACCUUACUUACUGGACAAGCUCUAUCAUGGUUUGCUCCUUUGUUUGAGAAACGAUCAUCUAUACUAAACAACUUUGAAACCUUUUUGGAGGCAUUUGCGGAAGCAUUUGGUGAACACGACAAGGUUCGAUGGGCUACAACAAAGAUCCGGUGACUAUGACAAGAGAUGCACUCUACAUCAGUCUAUGUAUCGGACUUCAGGUAAUUAGCAUGUGACAUCAAUUGGGACGAAGAAGCGUUGAUGAAUCAAUUCUAUUGGGGUUUAAGGGAUGAUGUGAAGGAUUUGCUGUUAACUCUUCCUGAUCCACAAAUGCUCAACGAAGCUAUUAGUCAAGCUGUGAAGUGCGAUAACCGCCUAUUCCAACGCCGCCAAGACCAACGUUCAAGACAACAUAUGGUUCGCCACACCCCAACUAUGUUGGCAAGCAGCGUGAAUUCACAUUCAGAGGUAGAAGAUAUGCAAAUUGAUGUGGUAUAUGUCAAAUCCCUUACUCUAGAAGAAAAAAAGCGGCGUAUGGAGAAAGGUCUAUGCUUGUAUUGCGGUGAAGAAGGCCACAAAGUUGGAAACUGUCCCAAGAAGUAAAAUCGACGUAUUGUCAAGACUAGGGGUGCAUUUAUUCAGGAAAACGAGGAUGCCCAACCACAAUAAGAACCGUGCGGCUGGACAGUGAAAUAUCGCACCAACAACUAGGUUCCUUUCUUUUCGCUCAACCUGCCCUUUGCUUUACAAUCCCUUUGCUUAUUAGCCUUCAGAAACUGAGAACCUUAGCAUUAUUAGAUUCAAGAGCAUCUGCUUGUUUCUUAGACGAAGAAGUUACAAAGCAUCAUAAGAUCCCUUUAGUACAAAAAUCCAAACCUGUUCACGUUGAGGUCAUAGAUGGACGACCUUUAUUGUCUGGUAUUGUCACCCAUGAAUCAGAACCUAUAGAAGUGACGUUUAAGGGCCAUAGUAGUCAUAUUAUUUUCAAUAUUACUAGAACCCCAUCAAAUCAUGUUAUUCUUGGUCUUUCCUAGUUGGAAAAGCAUAACCCAUCUAUAAAUUGGAAGUUGCGGAAGAUGACCUUUCCCACAAAACCACCCAAGAGCAAGCCUAGUAGAAAACCCCUAAUAGAGAAAUCCUUAUUUAUUGGAGCAAGAGCGUUUAUAAGAUCAUCCAAGGAAGGUACACCGUUUGUCAUUUAUGUGACUCCAACUACCGGGGAGAAGAUCUUGACAACAAGUAUACCGGAGCAAUAUAAGGAUUUUAAAGACAUGUUUCAAAAGAAAAAUGUCGACAUGCUACUGGAACAUAGACCAUAUGAUUGCGCCAUAGACUUACAGGAAGGAGCACAACCACCUUUUGGCCCAAUCUACAAUCUAUCGCAGACGGAGUUGGCGGAAUUGCGGAAGUACAUCGACGAGAAUCUAGCCAAGAACUUCAUCCGUCAUUCAAAAUCGUCAGCUGGAGCACCCAUCUUAUUUGUGAAGAAGAAAGAUGGCUCAUUGCGGAUGUGCGUAGACUAUCGAGGCCUCAAUAAGAUAACAAAGAAGAAUUGUUAUCUGUUACCCUUAAUUUCUAGUCUCUUAGAACAACUUGGACGUGCAAGGAUUUUUACAAAAAUUGAUCUAAGGGGAGCUUACAACCUCGUACAAAUCAAGGAAGGAGAUGAAAGGAAGACUGCGUUUCGUACAAGGUAUGGCCAUUUUGAGUAUAAUGUCAUGCCUUUUGGUCCUACCAAUACUUCAGCGGUCUUUCAACAUAUGAUGAAUGACAUUUUUCAAGAGUACCUUGAUGAUUUUGUAGUCAUCUAUUUGGAUGAUAUUCUGAUAUUCUCCAAAAAUGAGGAAGAGCAUGAAAAGCACGUUCGUUUGGUCUUGGAGAAACUACGCAAGCGAGAACUAUAUGCCAAGUUGGAGAAGUAUUUAUUUCACUAAAUAGAGAUGGAGUUUUUGGGGUUCAUUGCGACUAUGGAAGGCUUGAAGAUGGAUCCCAAGAAGGUGGAAGCAAUCGUGUCCUCGGAGGUUUUGAAGACGGUGAAAGACAUACAAUGCUUUCUUGGCUUUGCCAACUUCUAUCGGAUCUUCAUUAAGAAUUACUCUCAAGUUGCUGCUCUUCUCACUCGGUUGACAUGCAAAGAUAAGCUGGAAUGGAGACCUCUAGCGGAGAAGGCGUUUCAAGACCUAAAAUUUGCAUUUACUAUGGCUCCAAUCUUGGUACACCUAGACUUUACAAAGGCCUUUUAUUUAGAAACUGAUGCUUCGGAUUUUGCUUUGAGAGCAGUACUUUCACAAAUGGGAGAAGACAAGAAGCUCCAUCCGGUUGCAUUCUACUUCGGCUCUGUGCUACUAUUGUACCAAUUGAUGCUGACUUCCUGAAUCAAGUGCGUGUGGUGACCAUUGAAGAUUCAGUAGCCAUUGAUAUUAAGCAACAUGCCAAUGACAACAAGUUCAAGGUGGAAGGAGAUCUUUUAUACUUUGAGGAGCGAUUAUAUAUCCCAAAAGGACCACCACGACUUCCAGUUCUUCAAUCUCGCCAUGAUUUUCCAGCUGCGGGACAUUUUGGAUUCAACAAGACCUUGGAGCUUAUUUCUCGAGAUUUUUGGUGGCCCCAAAUGUGGAAGGAUGUGAAAGAUUUUGUCCUCUCCUGCGAUAUUUGUUCAAGUUCUAAGAAUCCUCGGCAUCGCCCUUAUGGACUCUUACAGCCAUUGCCGAUUCCACGUCGAUCAUGGUCUUCAGUUUCCAUGGACUUCAUCACAGACCUUCCAUCAUCGAACUCAUUUGACAGCAUCUUUGUCGUGGUAGAUCGGCUUACAAAGAUGGCGCACUUUAUCCUUUACAAGAAGACAUCAUCCAGUGAAGUCACAGCAAGGCUCUUUAUCGAUAAUGUGUAUUGAUAUCAUGGACUACCAGAUGAUAUCAUAUCAGAUCAAGGAACCCAGUUCAUAUCAAAGUUUUGGAGAUCUCUCUUUGAGAUACUGAAGGUGGAUAUCAAGCUUUCUUUGGCUUUUCAUUCUCAAACUGACGGCCAAACGGAACGGAUGAACCAAGUCUUGGAAUAAUACUUACGAUGCAGCAUCAACUAUCAGCAAGACGAUUGAACCACAUAUCUGCCGCUAGCCGAGUUUGCAUAUAACAACACCCUCCAUGCGUUGACUCAAUACACACCAUUCUUUUCCAACUAUGGGUAUCAUCCGAAGCUUGAUUUAUUGAGUCCGUCAACAAAUAAUAAUUCAGCAGUUGAAGGAUUUGCAAAACAACUAUCAGAGCUUCAAAAUACGUUGAAGCUUCAAUUAUAAUCCGCUCAAGAAUCCUACAAGGCGUCUACAAAUAGAUUUCGAAAUCAAGCACCUACUUUCAAAAUUGGAGAUAAAGCAUGGCUUCUUUGAUGGAAUAUCAAGACCAAGCGACCAUGUAAUAAGUUGGACUAUCGAAGAUUGGGACCAUUUAUCAUCCAGAAGCAAAUCAAUCCGGUGGCCUCCCGUCGAGAAUUAUCGGUUUCUAUGAAGGUAUAUCCAGUCUUUCAUGUUUUUCUGUUAGAGCCUUAUCGAGAGUCAUAUUUUCUUGGAAGAAUACAAUGUCCGCCACCUAGUAUUGAGAUUGAGAACCACAAGGAAUACGAUGUUGAAAAGGUACUCGAUUCACGGCAAAGGUGGGGCAAGUUGGAAUAUCUUGUUCAUUGGUGUGGCUAUGAUAUUAAUGAGUGAACGUGAGAGCCAGCUGAAAAUCUCGCCAAUGCGCCACAAAAGGUACAGGAGUUUCAUCAACAACAUCCUCAUAAAUCUAAGCCGGUUCGACGAUAGCUUCGUUCUGAAGCUUGCUCACCCAAGACUAUAAGAAAGAGAGAGCACCACCAAAAUUCGUAGUUGAUGUAGUUAUUUUUUCCAAGAUAAAAUAGAAUUUUUUUAGUAGCCAUAGUUUAGUCUUUUGAUAUGGAUAGCCAAGAGAUAGAUACUAUGCCAGUCAGAUUAUUUCAACCGACUAGCUCACGAAGGCGAUCCCAAGAUGAAGAACUGCCUACACUACGGCGACGAUGGAGGAUAUCGAGUAACCGAUCACUGGUGAUUGUAUUUGAGUCCGAGCUUGCUUACGAUGGUCAGCCAGAAGGCGUGUUUGUUGGACAAUUUCAUAAUGAGGACACGGAAGUUCAUGCUUGGUCAGAAGUUGAAGGAAUGGGCCACUACCAUUGGCUUCAAGGGCCGAUGAACCACUUGCCUCGUGAACAACACUUGGAGUUCAUAGCAGACGUUAUACGACAGAUCUUCAUUUUCUUGUGUUGGUAUUGAUCAACAACAUUGCUUCUCAGAGACCUUGAGGCUAAAGUUGUUAGGGACAUAAUUCUUAGAACCUUAUACAGAUAAGUUUCUAGAACCUUCUAAAAGGAAGUCUCUGGAACCUUCUAGAAGCUUCUUAGUUGGUAGAAGUUGCUUGAGAAGCUUCCUAAAUAGAAGUAUAUAUAGGAAUCGAGGCUAAAGAGUUCUUCAGUCUCAACAACACAUCUCUAGGAGCUCUAGCUCACCUCUCUGGUGUUGUUCUCAUCUGAUUAAUCUAGUUCUUGCCAGUUCUUCUUGAACUUCUUGUUAGAUCUUGAGUCUAUAUUUCUGUGUCCAUAACAACCGAUUGUACAUUUCAAUGAGGUAUCAAUUACGGAGGCUUUGAUUUCAUGUCAAGUUGUUCCGUUCUCUACACAAUUUUGGAAAACAUCCUUUUCAUUGAAAGAUCCUCUAAGAGGCGUGAAUUCCAAAAAAUCAAUAUCAGCCCAAUUGAGAGAACAAUCUUAUCCGUUGAAAGAACCAAUUUUAUAGGCUCCGUCAAAUUCAGUUCCAAUAGCUUUACCAAUUUCCAAUAUAGAGAAAAUCAAUUUACCUGUGUCGGUGUUUAGGCCUGGGAAGAAGAAACGAACAUUAGAAAUUACCACUAAUAUAGAACCAUAUGAUAUUCUAAAAGAUUGGGAUAUCGUACAGCCUAUGAUCUCUAUGAAGCAACUAUUGGUGGUAGCACCUAAGUGCCAAAUUAUCUUGAAUUCCUCAUUAAUUCAUCGCAGAUCCCAAAAUAAAGAAAUCUAAGAAAUAAGUUUAAAUCCUGAUUUUGGUGCACCAAUGAUUGAUGUCUCAAUUGAUUGAGUAUUAUUAUCGGAAGUACAAGUAGACUAAGGAUCUACUGUAAAUCUUAUGAAUGUGGCUACAAUGGAGGAGUUGGACUUGGAUCACUUAUCGCCUACUACAGUGGUUUUGAGAAUGGCUGACUCCAGUUGACUUAACCUAUGGAUAGUUUACAAAAUAUUGAUACAGUAAUUAUAAGGAUUAUCUACAAAAUUGAUUAUAUUAUUUUUCGAUUGUAAAGCUCUAUAUUGUAAUACCCAAAUUUAUUGGGGCAACCAUGGUUAUAUCAAGCUAAAGCUCGAAAUGACUGGAGCAGUGGUACAUUGACAUUUGGAAAAGAUAAUGAUAAAAUUGUGCUUCAAAUGUACCUUGUCGAAUAUUAUGGAAAAACUCAAGUUGCCAGUUCAGAAUUCACGUCGGAUUCUGAAGAUGAGUCUACAAAAGAAGAAAUUGGUGCACUUGACCUAAUUUAUGUUGAUACAAGAUAAGAUGUUGAGCACACUAGAAUGAAAUACCAAUAUAAGGGACUGAGAAAGUACUUAGUUCUUCUAGAUGUUAUUGACGAUUCUAAUCAUAUGAUUGCAUAUUGGAUGAAUAGAUAGGAGAUUAAUCACAUUAGUAUUAUGGAACUGGAGUUGGAAAGUUCUAAUUUGUUGGAUUUUAUGAAAGAUUUUGGAAUUGAACAAAAUAUUAUUCCAGAGAUACCUAAAAUUCCACGAUGUCAAUCAAUUAAUUUAGGUACAAGAGAGGCUUCCCAAAUCAUUCAGCUUUAUGACGAUAUAAAAGGCAAGGAAAAAAAAAUUUGGAUGGUUUACUUUUUAAUGCAUAAAACUACUUUUGCGUGGUCGUUUGCGGAUUUGAAAGGAAUUUCAGCUGAAGUUUGUGAGCAUCAAAUUAUAUUGGAGGAGAACACUACACCAGUAUGUCAAAGACAACAUCGACUUAAUCCAAAAUACUCACUUAUGGUAGAAGAAGAACUAAAUAAAUUCUUCGAGGUUGGAUUUAUCUAUCCAGUUCUUUUCAGCGAAUGGAUUUCACCAAUUGUUAUGGUACCAAAAAAAAUGGAAAAGUUUGCAUCUGUCAAGAUUUUUGUAAAUUAAAUGCGGCUACCAAGAAGGAUUAUUUUUUUUUACAAUGCACGGAUAGUAUAUUGGAUGCUGUCAUUGGACAUGAAUGUUAUUCAUUUCUUGAUGGAUUUUCUUAUUAUAAUCAAAUUAAGAUUACAAAAGAAGACUAGUUAAAAACUACUUUUACUACAGAUUGGGGGACCAUUACUUAUAAGAUUAUGCCAUUUGGGCUUUGUAAUGUACCAGCUACAUUUCAGAGGAUAAUGACGCAAGUGCUCGAAGAUUAUCUAUGAAUUUCAAUGAAAAUAUUUCUAGAUGAUUUUUGUACAUUUAGUACGAGAACCAAGCAUUUAGAAUGUCUAGGUCAAUAUUUGAAUCAAUGUGCUGAAUAUGGAAUUUCUUUAGAAUCAAAAAAGUAUCAAUUUGGUGUAUUUUUUUAGUAAACUGUUUAGUUUCAAUGGCAAGCAUUGCUACAGAUCAGGAUAAAAUAAAGAUUAUAGUCAAAUUAAAGCAAUUAGACACUAUUAUGGAUGUUCAAGCAUUUGUCGGCCAUGUUAAUUAUUAUCGGCAAUUUAUCUAUCUAUUUACAAUUAUAUACCUUCUCUUGACAAAUCUCUUGAAGAAACCACCAACUGGUAGAAUCAGUCCAUUUUGGACAGAAGAAUAUACAAUUGCAUUCGAAACAUUAAAAUAGAAAUUAGUUUCAGCACCAAUAUUGGUGGCACCUUUUUGGACAAAACCAUUCCAAGUUUAUGUAGAUGCAUCUAAUAUCACGAUUGAUUCUGUGCUAAUCCAGAAAGAUGACCAGGAUUUUCAUCAUCCUAUUUAUUAUGCUAGUUGUCUAUUGGUAACAGCAAAAAGAAAUUAUACAACAAUUGAAAGAGAAGCAUUGGGGAUGAUUUAUUCCAUACAAAAGUUUUGACAAUAUCUUCUUGGUUAUAAAUUUAUUUUCCAUGUCGACCAUGAUGCUUUAAAAUAUAUGAUUAAUAAGCCUCAAUUGAGUAGUUGUAUUGCACGAUGGAUUUUAUUCUUGCAGGAAUUUGACUUUACUAUUCAGGUAAGACCAAAAAAAUUACAUUCCAAUGUGGACUAUUUAUCUCGGUUAUCCAAUAUAUUGAAUAAUGAACCCAUUAAGGAUGCACUACCUGAUGCAGAACUGUUUGCGGUAGAUGUAAUUACUUCGGAGUAUAGUGAAAUAAUUCAAUACUUGACAUUUCAAACCUUCUCAUCCAAUUUUAAUGAAAUGCUUAUACGACCCUUAAUAUUAAAAUGUGCAUCUUAUACGAUGAUUGGUGAAGCUUUAUAAAAACAAGGCAAGGAUGGAGUUUUACAACGUUGUAUUUAUCAGACUAAAGUGCGUAUUAUAUUGAAAGGUUGUCACUUGGACAAUUGUGGCAAACAUUUUACGGAGGACAGUACAGCUUGUAAAGCUUCAUAGAUUGGUUAUUGGUGGCCAACAAUGUUUGCAGAUGCCUACCAAUUUAUUCGUCAUUGUGACCCAUCUCAACAAACAUGUCGACCUAUUGGAACUUCAGCAAUGCCAUUAGUACCAAUUCUGGCUCAAGUGCCUUUUAAAAAAUAGAAAAUUGAUUUUGUGGAAUCAAUUGCACCAACCUCGAGAAAUGAACAAAAAUAGUAUGUAUUGGUAGCAACGGAUUACGUAACAAAAUGGGCUAAAGCCAUAGCUACAAAAAUCGAUAGUGCAAGUAUAGUAGCAACCUUUUUGUAUGAAAAUAUUAUUACACGGUUCGGUUGACCACGAGAAUUGGUUAGUGAUCAAAGAAUUUAUUUUAUAAAUAGUACAAUUGAAGCACUCAUGACUAAAUACAUGAUAAAAAAUCGAAAGACUACACCGUAUCAUCCUAGAACCAAUGGACAAACGGAAAAGACUAAUGGAAUUUUAUGUAAAAUCUUAACAAAAACAAUUUUAAGAGCGGAAACACAUUGGGACUCUAAGUUGUUCACAGCUUUAUAGACAUACAAUAUUAUGUAUAAAGUUACUACCAAUGCUACCCCUUUCCAAUUAAUUUAUGGCCAAGAAGCAAUAUUAUCCAUUGAAUUGGAAGUCCAAAGUUUACGAAUUACUAUAGAUACUAGAUUGGGAGAUCAGGAUUCAUUAUGGUACUGUUUAGAAGAAUUGAAAAAAUUGGAUGAAAUUAGAGCCAAUAUAUUAAUGAUUAUGAAAACUAUACAAAAACAAAGGAAGACUUAUUAUGAUAGUAAGCUUAGACCAAAGGCUUUUAUGUCAAAUGAUUUGAUACUUCUUUAUGAUAGUCAAUUUAAAAAAUUUUUAGGAAAAUUUUAAGUUCGAUGGCAUGGACUAUAUCGAGUUAUUGACGGAUUUCCAAAUGGUUCUAUGUAAUUGAAAGAUUUUAUGGAUACUAAAUUUAUAACAUGGAUCAAUGGCAAUUGGCUUAAACUUUACUAUACAUAAAUCUAGGACAGGUUUACUGUUCCAAAAAGAGGGGGGGAAAUAAAUAAUGAUGAUAAUAGGGUAUUUUAUCAUGAUGAAUCAUGGAAAAUAAGAUGAAGUCAAUCCAAUUGAUUGGACCAUAGUAAGAAGUAGGAGGGGAGCUCUUGAGAAGCAUUGUGUUUUCUUUUGUGGUUAAGAGGAAGAUGACAAACAUGAUAUCUGAGAAAGCAAGGAUGAAGACCAAUUGGAAGGAAUGGCAAGAAUGACUAUAAGUAGAGGUUGCGAUGUUAUAGACUAAACUAGCCGCAUUAGCAUAGGAGGUCAAUAAUUUAGUGUGGACAAUAUGCCAGUUUCAUCAACAACACCUUUGGAGAUACCUUUAAAAUUGAUAGAAAAAUAGUAGAAGCUAUUAGAAAAGCGUGACAACGAAAUUACGAUCUUGAAUAUCAGGUAAGAGAAUUAGAUUUGUUGAAUGAAGAGCUCACGUCACGUUUGGAUGGAGAACCCUCGAACAUUGAGGUAGAUGAAAAAGAUGUAGCAGAGGAGAAGGUCACCAAUUCAAAAGGUGGUAAGCCAACGCCAUUGACUGAAGAAGCUAACGCUACUACGUCUUUAUAAGUUGAGGCUGAAUAAUGUUUACGAGGAUAUUCCACAGAUAAAAGUGGAACUAUGUGGAACAAGCAAAUAAACUUUGUAGUAAGUUACUGGUUGGUUAUUGACAACCUUGAGAAUUAGACUUAUAGUUUGGAAGUUUAGUUGGUAACAGUAGGUUGUUAAUAGAAUAAAUGGUUAAGAAUUCAAAGGAUCAUAACCUUUGAAAUCCGUCGGCUGACAAACCAUCUUUUUGGUAGGAUAAAGAAGUUGAGAAAAGAGAGAAGAAGUCAGACUGUGAUAGUCAUAAGCCCGUGUCGUGUUGUAACACGAGUAUAUCGUAAAAAUAUAAAAAAAAAGGACUUUUAUUAAUGUUCAAUUACCUCAAAUAUUGGGAGCAACGACCAACUCCAAUGCAAAUACUCAGUGGCCAGGUUCAGUCACCCCAUUACAGUCAGCCAGGGCAUACUGAAAUGCUCCGUUCGAUUCUAAUAACGGGAGUGAGCAGGAAGGGAAAGGACCAAUUCACAUGACAGGUGAGCCUGGUUCGAAGAGCCAAUUGGAUCCAAUUUCAAGACAUCCAAUCCAGGUCUUCUUACCCAAUAUGAGACCCGAAUUGGUCGGGCAACCCAAUGCAGUCUAAUUAUGGGAAAAUCUAGGUUUUACUAUGGGCCUCAGCGACUCUGAUGCGAAGGACCAAUUUGACCUAAUUACGGAAACAUCCGGGUCUUACUACUGGACUCUUACCCAAUAUGAGACCUGAAUUGGUUGGGCGACUCAAUGUAGUAUCGAUCAUGGGAUUUCGAUUCUGUUUCAGGCUGUCCUAUUCUCUGUGCCGUUUCAGGGAACGUUGUUUUCGAUAAAAGGAUCUCUUAAAGGUAAAAAUGGAGGAGAAAGCUCUGAUGACAGGAGCCAAUUUUGGAUCUAAGCUCUGACGAUGGGAGCCAAUUUCGGAUCCAAGACGGAAGAUUGAAGAUAUUCAAAAUUGAUGUUAAGAAAUGAGAGGGGAGAAAAUAAUUUUUGAGAGGGUUUUGAAGGAUCGAGAGGGUAGCUUCAUACUUCGGGCAGGGAAAGAAGAGAAAGAAUUGGGUUUUUUUUUCUUCAUAGGGUUUUGAGAAGACUGAGGCAAUCGUAGUUGAAGUCAAUGUUGUAAUGGUGAAUCGAGAUUUUUAAUGAAGUGGGUUUGAUUACUCUUGACUGUUUGUGAAAUCGAGUUACGUCUGUGAUGAAGAAUUAAAAGGGUGUCUAUAGAAUUGAGUAUGCGGAAUGAAUGAAAUUUAUUGGAUUAAUCUAACAAGAGAGUCAGUGGAUACAAGAUUGUGAGUAUAAAGCGGUAUCAAAGAUUAGCAGUUUGGGUUGUUCGGGGUUCUCUGUAACGUCUAGAGACCUACCGGCUGGGGCAAAAAGGACUUCGACAAGCAGUGGAAGGGCAUCUGUAAAGAUUUACGGUGUAUUCUUGCAGUUGAUUAUAUUCCAACAGUCAAAAACCGAUAAACUGCUUGAAUAUUGGCAAAUCUCCAUACUACCUUCUACAGCCAAACGCUCGACGCGUUCUCGCGCAAGAAAGCACGUAAUAUGACAAAAGUGGUGAACCCAAUGUGAAAGCUUGAGUUGGAAGGUAUUGGAUUUCGUUUGGUUUUAUUUUUAUUUUAUGGAAAACAAAAAUAAAAAUUUCAAAGGAUUUUUGGGAGGAGUUUCUGGUGGGGAUUCUUCUAAAGGACAAGGUAUGCACAUGGAUCCGUCUAUUGCUAGUAGGUUUCAAGCCUUCUCAUUAUCAAUGCAGCAACAGCAAAGCAAUGAUCGAAAGAAAGCUUGGGCAACCAUAGCAUUGCAAGCAGUGGUCAAUAAAAUUGAUCAAUUUGAUGGGAGGAAUAUUUCAAGGUAUUUAAGAUGUUAUGUUCAUGAAAUGGAAUUAAAUCGGAUUUUUGAGAAGAAAAUGGUUGAAUUAUUUGGACUUGCCAUGAUACCGGAGAUAAGAGACCAUAUUACAUCGAUUACGGAUCGUUAUGGAAAUUCAUGGGUGGUUUUUUCACAUGCAUUGAAAGACAAAUAUUUCUUGUAAGAUGCUGAUCGCGUUACUAAGAAGCUGUUUCUGGGAUGGAUUGAACGGCCCAAUAACAAUUUGCAAGCAACAGAGCUACUAAGGGAAUUUGAAAGGCAGUACUCUCAAUUAUCGAAGGUAGAAAAAUUGACAUUGGAGCCGAACAAAGUUGAUCUAUUUCUUCAAGCUGCUGAUAGAGAAUUGCAAGGAAAAUUAGAACUCCUUCUUGAAGACAAAGUAAAAGAUGAAGGAUUGACAACAAAGUGGAAGAACGUUGAAGAUGCGGUGGAAUUGCUUACAAAAAGAGAAAGGAGGAAGGAUAGGAGCAAUAUUUCGAAAACAGUUCAAGCACCCAAAGCUCCAAUACGUACAACACCACCAACAAUGCCUACAGUUCAACUUUUGACAUCCUUAUUGAAGAAAGCAGAUAUAGGGAUGGAAGAAAUUAUACGAGGAAUGCGAGAUCUUCGAAUCAAAUUGGCAAGACUUGAAGAGAAUACUUCUACAAAUAAUUUGAAGAAUGUUUCAAAACAAGGAUAUGUACAAAGAUGCAUUUGGUGUGAUGACGCUUCACACACUAGAAAAGAUUGCAAUGAAUUUAAUAAUAUGAUAUGGUAGGGAAUUAUUUGCUGAAAAGAUGGAAAGAUAGCAUUGAAAGAUAGUGAGGAUCUGCUUCAAACCAAUUUUGACAAGGGAGGAAUGAGAGCAUUAGUUCAAGAUUACCUAAAAGAGCAUGAAACAGCAGCACGAGAAAGUGCAAGUUAUGGUGCUAGAGUAGAUGAUGAAAUUGGUGGAAGUACGGAAACUAGUGAGUUUUGGGCUUCUGCCGUUUUUACAAUGCAAGAAGGGAAAUUACCUCGAGAAGCGUUAUUGAGAAAUGCAGCUACAAUACGAGGUAGAACAAGUUGGGAGGAUCCUGUUGAGUUUGUUUCAGUUCUAGCAUAUAUUACUAAGAGCCAACAUGAAGCUUUGAUGGAAGAAAAGAGACGAGGAAAUUUUGAUGAUACUAGAGAAGGAAAUUCUUUUAAGAGGCAAACUCAAGGAGACAAGGCUCGGGAGGCAACUUCACAAGAAUUGCCUGUAAAGGAUAACUCAACAUCAUUGGGAGAAAAAACAAAGGAGACAAAAGAUAAGGGCAAAUCAAUUGCUUAUAAGCUACUUUUUGACAUUGAAGAGGCAACAAAUUUGAAAGGGGUGUUGGAAGAACGUAUAUUAAACGCUAAGGUGGAAUUCACAUUAAAAGAAGUCUUGGAAAUUGCAAAGAAGGAGUUUCAUGAUAUUAUCAUUGACAGCAUUAAGCGAAAGAGACAAUUAAUGAGUGAAACUGGAAUGAGUCAUGCUAUUGAUGCAAGAAUAUAUAAAGAAGAAGAAGAGGUUGAUAUUGGUUACAAGCAAUCAACAAAUGAAAAGAAUGGGUAUAAUCAACGAGUACGUUUCAAAGAUUAUAGUGAUAAGGAAAUGGAAACCUUGAGCCAUUAUACUCGAAAGCAUUGGGCAAGGGUAACUACUGAGGUAUUGGUGAAAGUAGGAGAUAUAGAAGAACCAAUUGUUACUUUAGUCGACCAUGGUUCUGAAAUAAAUCUCAUGUCUAAAGAUCUUUAUAAGAAGCAAAAAUGGCCAAUUGAUAUGGAACAUGGAUGGGCAAUUUGAGCAACUAAUAACACAUGGGGCGAAUUAUAUGGAGCUUAUCCAGAUGUCAAAAUUUGGAUUGGGGAUGUUGCGACGGAGCAACAUUUUUUUGUUCAAGAUACAACGUCUUAUCCGUUGAUUUUAGAACAACCUUAUAUUACGGCAACACGGAUGGAAACAAAAGUACUUGACGAUGGUUCUGCUUAUGCAAGGGUAUAGAGCGAAUAUGGGAGGAAAGCUGUACAAUUUCUAACAAUACCUCAUAACCAUGAACGGAAUCGAGAUAGGUUGAGGGAGAAAACAUUGCCAAAGAUUGUUGAAGGAUUUAAGGAUUUGGGGGAGGUACCACUGUAAAGCGAGAUUAUGGAGGUACAAAAGAGGAGGUACUCUGGUGAGAUGAAGGUGCCUUUGAUGCGAAUUUUAUUGGUAUAUUGGAGAAUGGAAUUAUUAUGUAUAAGAAAGUUGAUGAUUUUUAAAGAAAAGAAAAAAAAAGAUUAUAUAAUAUUGAAGGAGAUUUAUGCAAGUUAGGUAUAUUGCAAGAUGAUGAGAGGAUUUUAGGUGUUUAUGAAGAAAAUGGAUUGGAAGAUUCAUUGGAAUUGAUUACAUCUAUUGGGUUAGGGGAUAAUGAUAAGAUUGUUGAGAUUCAUUCAAGAGAGGUUUAUACCAUACUUGAAUCUUUUCAAACACCAGAAGUCACUGUAGAGAGAAGAUAUAAAACGGCAGAUAAGAAGAUAAAGCCUGUUGCCGGACCAUUACCAGAAGAUUCUAAGGAAUAAAUGGGAGAAGCAUCAAAAGAAGCAAGUUUAAGAGAUCCAAUGAGUAUAGGACAUCAGUUUACUAAAGAGACUUUUGAAGAAUUGAAGAUUGGUUCUGAUGGUUCUUUAUUGUCGGAGGAAAUUACUUGCUUCAAAAAGAUGUUGGCUAAACAAGAUAGAUCGUUUGCUUUUGAAUCUCAUGAAAUUGGGUGUGUGGAUCCGAAUAUUAUAACACCUAUGGUUAUCUUCACUGUAUCGCAUGUACCUUGAAAUCUAAGACCGAUUCCAAUACCGAGGGCAUAUUUACCUAAAUUGGUGGAACUAUUAAAAGAAAAGAUAAAGAUGAAAAUAUUAGAACCCUCAUUUGUGCCGUAUUCUAGUCGAUGGUUUACGGUACCUAAGAAGAAUGGGUCACUACGGUUUAUUCAAGAUAUGCAAUUGGUGAAUGCAGUAACUAUCAGGAAUACAGAAAUUGGACCUAUUGUGGAUGAAUUUGCUGAGACGUUUGCUGGAAGGGUGAUCUAUUCAAUGGGUGACUUGUAUUCAGGUUAUGAUCAAUUUCAACUUGCCGAAGGAAGUAGAGAUAUGACAACAAUGAGAAAACCACUUUGAUUGAUUAGAAUGUGCACUCUUCCUCAAGGCGCGACCAACUCAGUUGCGCAUAUGAUGAAUGGGAUGAAUAAGGUAUUGAGAGAUUUUAUUUUGGAAAAGACUAUGCCUUUUCUGGAUGAUGUUCCUAUAAAAGGGCGCAGAGAAGGAGACAAGGAUGAAAUUUUAGAUACGAGGGGGUGUCGCAAAUAUGUUGUUGAUCAUAUACAAGAUUGUGAAAAGAUUUUAACUUGGCUUGGAGAAGUUCAUCUUACAUUAUCGGGUAUGAAGUCCGUAUUUGGAAUACGAGGGGUUGUGAUUGUUGGACAUUUAUGUGGAUCUUACGGAAAAAAACUAAAUCUGACUAAAGUUGAUGCAAUUGAAAGGAUGAAAGAGGAUUGUGAUUCUUUAACAGAGGUUCGCAGGUUUUUAGGUGCAUGUGUAUUUAAUCGAAUCUGGAUCCCUCAUUAUGCUCACAUAGCAGUACAUUAUAUGAAUUGUUAUGCAAGGAUUACCGAUUUAAAUGGGAAGAAAGGCAUAUUCAAGCAAUGCAAAGAUUGAAGAAAUUAUUGAUGUCACCUCCAAUAUUGAGGAAGAUUGAUUAUAAGUGCAAUAGACCAAUGAUUCUUACUGUAGACGCUAAUCCAAUUGCCAUUGGAUGGGCUAUGGGUCAAGAUGAUUCCAGUGGAAAUAGAUUUGCAGUUCGAUUUGGAGCUAAAGUUUUAAGUAUUCGUCAGCUUGCAUAUGCGCAAGUCAAAAGAGACCUUUGGUCGGCUAUGAAAGCUGAAAAGGACUAUUUGAUAUGGACAGUAGUAGUAAUUGAAAUAGAUUGCUUGCCAUUGCUUGGAAUAAUUAGUAACUAUUCAACACCAGAUAUUGCAAUGUUGAGAUGGAUUGCUUAUAUUAAGUCACUAAAUCCGGAAUUUAAGCAUGUUACUGGAAAUGACAAUUUAAUAGCAGACAUGCUAUCUUGAACAAGAUAUGAGAGGGAGGACGAAAUGGUUGAAGACAUUGAUGACGUCGGAUUAAAAUUCUAUUCAAUAUCAAAUCUCAACAGAGAAGACAAGCUAUUUCUUGAAGAAUCUUAUGAAGGAGAAUUAUUGGAUAUUGGUCAUUAUUUGAAUACCUUGACUAAGCAGGAGAAUCGGUCUACAGAAAAAUUCAAAUAAAUAAGAAAAAAAGCAUAUGGAUUUUUACUUCGAGAUGGAUUCUUAUGGAAGAGACCGAAGAAAGGAAUUGGGAUGCCAUGACGAGUGAUAGAUAAAAAGGAAGAAAUACUAAAAUUAUUAAAGGAGUUUUAUGAUAGUUUAUGGGCAGGGCAUAGAGGAAUCUGGGCUACUUUUACUAAACUCAAGGAACGAUAUUGGUGGAAAAAUAUGUAUCGAGAUGUGCUCUCAUUUGUAGAGUCAUGUGAAAUCUGUCAAUCGUAUUCUAAUAUCCGACAUCGAGAUGGUCUUCAUCCUAUGUAUCCUCUGGCUAUUCAUUUUAAAUGGGUUGUUGAUUUGGUUAUUAUGCCAGUUGAGUUAUGGCAGAUGAGAUAUUUGGUUUUAGCUCGUGAAGAUUUAUCAAAUCAAGUAGAAAGAAGAGCAUUGAGGACAAAAUCUACAGAAGGGAUUUGUAGGUUUUUGCUUGAAGAUGUCAUUUGCCGUUACGGAUGCGUAGGAAAAAUCAUUGCAGAUCGCGGAGAAUUAAAUACACAAGAAGCUCGUAAGUUCUUUGAAAGAUGUGGAGUUAAACUAUCACUGACUACUGCUUAUAAUCCGGAAGGGAAUGCAAAAAGUGAAUGCAGUCACCCACCGAUUGUGAAAGCAUUAGUUAAAGCUUGUAAUGGGAAAGUUAAAGAGUGGCCACGGCUUUUGUCAUUUGCAUUAUGGGCUGAUCGAACAACACAUAGUUUGGUGACAAGAUAUAUGCCAGUAGAACUUAUGAUAGGUCGAAAACCAAUUAUGCCAAUUGAAAAAAAGGUACUUACUUGGAGUAUGCUAUGAUGGGAAGAUGGAUUGACAAGAGAAGAACUUCUGGCUAUUAGGAUUCAACAAUUGGAGCAAAGAUCGGAAGUUGUGCAAAUAGCAUUGGAAAGGUUAAAAAGAGCAAGGUUAUAAAACAAGGCGCGAUUUGAUAAGCAACAUCGAUUGAAACCUAAAGCAAUCGAAGAAGGUGACUAGGUACUUGUUUAUGACAAUAGUCUGGAUAAUCAACAUAGUACUUUGCGGAAAUUUUCAAAACGUUGGUUUGGAGUGUAAGUAGUAACAACUGUUCAUGAUAAUGCGACUUACUCAUUAUGGGAGUUAGAUGGUACAAAAUUGAAAAUACCAAUUGCAAGGAAGGAAGUAAAAAUAUUUAAACAAAGAUACGCGGAGAUGAAUAUGAAAGACCUUAAUGAAGGUAUAGAGAUUCCGCAGCAAGAAGAUGAAAGUGAUUUGGAUAAUGAAGGUGACGAAGAUGAACAGGACAAAGACGUAAAGGAUACAUUCUAAAUCAAACAGCAAUUGGGUAAAUUGGAGCAUAUCGGAGGAUGCACAGGUUUAGAGGGGGUGGAUGUUGUGUUGUAACACGAGUAUACCGUGAAAAUAUAAAGAAAAGGGACUUUUAUUAAUGUUCAGUUACCUCGAAUAUUGGGAGCAACGACCAACUUCAGUGCAAAUACUCAGUGGCCAGGUUCAGUCACCCCGUUACAGUCAGCCAGGGCAUACUGAAAUGCUCCGUUCGAUUCCAAUAACGGGAGUCAGCAGGAAGGGAAAGGACCAAUUCACAUGACGGGUGAGCCUGAUUCGAAGAGCCAAUUGGAUCCAAUUUCAAGACAUCCAAUCCAGGUCCUCUUACCCAAUAUGAGACCUAAAUUGGUCGGGCAAUCCAAUGCAGUCUAAUUACGAGAAAAUCUAGGUCUUACUACGGGCCUCAGCCAAUCUGACGUGAAGGACCAAUUUGAUCCAAUUACGGGAACAUCCGGGUCUUACUACUGGACUCUUAUCCAAUAUGAGACCUGAAUUGGUCGGGCGACUCAAUGUGGUCCCGAUUACGGGGUUUCGAUUCUGUUUCAGGCUGUCCUAUUCUCUGUGCCGUUUUAGGGAACGUUGUUUUCGGUAAAAGGAUCUCUUAAAGGUAAAAAUGGAGGAGAAAGCUCUGACGACGAGAGCCAAUUUUAGAUCCAAGCUCUGACGGCGGGAGCCAAUUCCGGAUCCAAGACGAAAGAUUGAAGAAAUUCAAAAUCAAGGUUAAGAAAUGAGAGGGGAGAAAAUAAUUUUUGGGGGGAUUUUCAAGGAUCAAGAGAGCUAGCUUCAUGCUUCAGGCGGGGAAAGAAGACAGAGAAUUGGAUUUUUUUUCUUCAUAGGGUUUUGGGAAGACUGAGGCAAUCGUUGUUGAAAUCAGUGUUGUAAUGGUGAAUCGAGAUUUUUAAUGAAGUGGGUUUGAUUACUCUUGACUGUUUUGUGAAAUCGAGUUACGUCUGUGAUGAAGAAUUAAAAGGGUGUCUAUAGAACUGAGUAUGCGGAGUGAAUGAAAUUUAUUGGGUUAAUCUAACAAGAGAGUCAGUAGAUACAAGAUUGUGAGUAUAAAGCGGUAUCAAAGAUUAGCAGUUUGGGUUGUUCGGGGUUCUCUGUAACGUCUAGAGACCUACCGGCUGGGGCAAAAAGGACUUCGACAAGCAGUGGAAGGGCAUCCGUAAAGAUUUACGGUGUAUUCUUGCAGUUGAUUAUAUUCCAACAUUCAAAAACCGAUAAACUGCUUGAAUAUUAGCGAAUCUCCAUACAACCUUCUACAACCAGACGUCCGAUGCAUUCUCCAGCAGGAAAAUACGUAAUACGACACCAAAACAAGCUUGGUGCUAUCUCUUUUUUUUUCUUUGUUAUUGACGAGUAAUGGAUAGUUUUUGAAUACUGAGAAGUUAGUCUGGAGUGUCAAACUGUGAGAGUCGUAAGCCGAGAUAUUGAAUUUUGUGUGAUGAAUUGAAAAACUAAAUACAAUAGGUAAACUAAAGAUCAUUAAUUGAAUAUAUAUAAACCACAAAGAGAGUAAGUGAGAGAUGAACGGAUAAGAAUAUGGAAGUAUUGUUGAAUUGAUAGUCAUAGAAUGGAUUAGGUAUUGAAUUAUGACGGAAGUAGUAAGCCUUGUUGUUUUGUAAUUUGAUAAUUGAUUUCAUAUAGCUCGAGUACAGUCAAUUGUGAUACUAAUAGACCCAAUUCAUAUAACCAAUCUUUCUCCGUGUUCGAAUCCACCUCUAUUAGUUCAAUUGCUUUG
rnacentral:lncRNA from 1 species